rnacentral:rRNA from 1 species
GUCCACGCCGUAAACGAUGUCGACUUGGAGGUUGUUCCCUUGAGGAGUGGCUUCCGGAGCUAACGCGUUAAGUCGACCGCCUGGGGGAGUACGGCCGCAAGGUUAAAACUCAAAUGAAUUGACGGGGGCCCGCACAAGCGGUGGAGCAUGUGGUUUAAUUCGAUGCAACGCGAAGAACCUUACCUACUCUUGACAUCCACGGAAUUUGGCAGAGAUGCCUUAGUGCCUUCGGGAACCGUGAGACAGGUGCUGCAUGGCUGUCGU